UAAACACGGCAAAAGAAGCCGCCGCGAUUCAAUUUCGCGCUUACGUGUUAAGCACUUGAUGAUGAAAACCAUACAAAUCCACAGUUUUCGGAUCCUCCCACACAAAUCAAACAGCAAUCCCAUUACUCCAUAGUACUUUACUUUUCAAUCAUUAGCUUAAUCACUGUAUCACUCAAUCGAGAGAGAGAGAGAGAGAGAGAGAGAGAGAGAGAGAGAGAGAGAGAGAGAGAGAGAAUGGAACCUCUAAUGGAGGAAGAAGAGUACAACUGGAGAGAAGUGAAGCUACCGUCGCUGAUACCGGUGGUGCCGGAGCCGGAGCUGGAGAGAGAAACCGGCGAGAGGCGCCGCGGCCGCGAUAUCCUCAUAGCAGUGGAUCACGGGCCCAACAGCAAGCACGCCUUCGAUUGGGCCCUGGUUCACCUAGCUAGGAUCGCAGACACCAUUCAUCUGAUCCACGCCGUCUCCAGUUUGAAGAACGGCCUUGUGUACGAGGCCGCGCAGGGGCUUAUGGAGAAGCUUGCGGUGGAGGCUUUUGAGGUCGCCAUGGUGAAGACAUUGGCUCGCAUAGUUGAAGGAGAUGCAGGAAAGGCAAUUUGCAAAGAAGCAGAAAGGUUAAAACCAGCAGCUGUAGUCAUGGGUACCAGAGGUAGAAGCUUAAUCCAAAGUGUACUGCAGGGAAGUGUCAGUGAGUAUUGCUUCCACAACUGUAAAACAGCACCCAUAAUCAUAGUUCCAGGAAAAGAAGCAGGAGAGGAGUCUGUGGUUUAGUCAAUCUGACGAAAGACAACAACAGAUUCCACAACUACACGGAACCUUGUUUCAUUAAACUCCAUACCGUAAAUGUUUUGCAAAUUUCCAUCCCAAGCUGUUGAGGUUUGGAUUUGCUGUAAUGUGAGAAAACUUUGGUUAGGAAAAAUGUGCCUAACAUAUUGACGGAGAUGCAAAAAACAAUAGAAGUGGAAGAAAUUACAUCGAAACAGGAUGAAUCGAGAAAUGUUUCGGGUAGCGAUAGAGGAGCGCUGGUAGUCCUUCGAAGUGCCAUAUCAGGAGUAUUGAUUCCCAUUUCCAACCCAGUACAUGAAGCUAGUUGUUGUAGUGGAUUAAACUGGAGGUAGGCAGGAUUAGUAAUUUCUGAUUGUACCCCAAUUGCGAAAUUGGACGUGCUUGCUGGAAAAACCUGUUGUG